CCACAUAUAAAUGUGCCUGAGAUAUUUUAGAGUUCAGUCUCUUAAAACAAUAAAAGAAGCAGCUACAUUUUAUUUUAAUCUUUAAAAACAAGAAAUAAGUUAUUAGCUUAAGAGCUACGUUUAGUUUAAUUUAAUAACCCACGGUUCUAGUGUAAAAAGGGUUAAAUCCCGGGUGAGCUGAAGGCAUCACUCUCAGCCAAUGAGCUGCGGCUAAACGCUGCAUGUCCCGCCCAUCUUCUCUGUCUCGGACUGCAGGCCCUCGUUAGUCCUUUUCGGCUGCAGAACACGAUCAGAACACCAGCGGAGAAAGUAGGCACGGCGUUUCGGAAAAAAAAGAGGUACAAAAUGAAGUGUUAGAUGUCUUUGCGAAUGUUAAACAUAAUUUUAUGCAUGUUUACUCCUAAAGAGCCAUAGGUUAAAAGAUAUUUAUUAGUUUCGGUUAUUUUUACACUUCUAGUUGUAGAAGGCCAGAGCUUAGAGGCGGCGCCAUUUUAUGCUGUUGUGCUGCCCAUUCGUGGAAUCGGUCAGGUUUUUUGUGACAUAUGAACAUUCUGAUGUUGAUGGCGAGCCAGUCCCGUGGAUGAACCAGAUCAGCAGCGACUUCCUCCAUCCUUGCUGCACGGUGGAGUGUGGUAGGAGUGAAAAAAAAAAGAAAAAAACCAAAGGGAUCCCACCACGCCAAUUCCCUCUCCUUGCAUCUUUUACGUACACCUACAUAUUCCCUUGGACUCUUGGACAUCCCGCCUUAUUAUUUAGGACUAUUUUCUUUUUGUUUUGGACUAUCCACAUCGUUACACGAGGACUGAUUUGGUGUGUUUCAGGUCGGAGCCAUUCCAACAAAAGUUGAGGUUUUGUUGCAGGAAGCUGAAAAUUUUACCCUGUCAGACAGACAUUGUAUGUUGAACUGGUACUGAUCCAAUCUGAAAGAUUGAGUUACUAAAAAGGGUGCACCCAGAGAAAAAAAAAACAAUUGUUGCGAUUGUGAAAAGAUAUUGCCACUCCGAAAUUGUUGGUAUCAAAGGAAAAGACAUAUUUCGGACCGAAAUAGUUUUAUUUAAUUUUUCUUUUAAAUUUGCUUCAUUAAAUUUGUCCAGCUGGCAUUUCUAAAAUAUUGGAAGUACUGUCCUGAGUCUCAUUCCUUUUUCACCUCUUCUAUGAGUAGCCGAACCUACUGGUCCGAACCCUUUUUGAGUAUAAUUACUUUAGUGAGGUAAAUCUGAAAUCGAGUCACAAGUAAUUCUGAGAGAGUGUUACAGGUGGC